AACGAACGCUGGCGGCAGGCUUAACACAUGCAAGUCGAACGCGUGUAGCAAUACACGAGUGGCGCACGGGUGAGUAACGCGUGGAUAUCUGCCUUUUGGUUCGGAAUAACUCCGGGAAACUGGAGCUAAUACCGGAUGGUUCCUUCGGGAUAAAGAUUUAUCGCCAAAAGAUGAGUCCGCGUACGAUUAGCUAGUUGGUGAGGUAAUGGCUCACCAAGGCGACGAUCGUUAGCUGGUCUGAGAGGACGAUCAGCCACACUGGGACUGAGACACGGCCCAGACUCCUACGGGAGGCAGCAGUGGGGAAUAUUGGACAAUGGGGGCAACCCUGAUCCAGCCAUGCCGCGUGAGUGAUGAAGGCCUUCGGGUUGUAAAGCUCUUUUGGCGGGGACGAUGAUGACGGUACCCGCAGAAUAAGCCCCGGCUAACUUCGUGCCAGCAGCCGCGGUAAGACGAAGGGGGCUAGCGUUGUUCGGAAUUACUGGGCGUAAAGCGAGUGUAGGUGGUUGUUCAAGUUGGAUGUGAAAGCCUUGAGCUCAACUCAAGAAAUGCAUUCAGGACUGAGCGACUAGAGGACCGGAGAGGAUAGUGGAAUUCCCAGUGUAGUGGUGAAAUACGUAGAGAUUGGGAAGAACACCAGUGGCGAAGGCGGCUAUCUGGACGGUUUCUGACACUAAGACUCGAAAGCGUGGGGAGCAAACAGG
rnacentral:rRNA from 1 species